ensembl:lncRNA
CCAUCUUGAGUUGAUUCAGGUUAACGCUAUGCAGAGAAUCUCCUUCCUCCAUUUUGAGUUGAUUCAGGUUAACGCUAUGCAGAGAAUCUCCUUCCUCCAUUUUGAGUUGAUUCAGGUUAACACUAUGCAGAGAAUCUCCUUCCUCCAUUUUAAGUUGAUGUAGUUAACCUGGGCAGAGAAACUUGUUCUGUUAAACUAACGGCCUUCAUAUCAGUAAAUGUUUCAAACUUCCAGGGUCUUAUAGCUCUAGGCUGGUGCCAUGUGGGUGAUUGUGAUGGCUUGUCUUCUCCUUAUAAGACAGCUAUAGGCUGGUGCCAUGUGGGUAACUGUGAUGGCUUGUCUUCUCCUUAUAAGACAGCUCUAGGCUGGUGCCAUGUGGGUAACUGUGAUGGCUU